CUAUUUCCCUUUGAUAUCCAUUUUGCCAAAUGUGGCUGAAAUUUUAUGAUUUUUAAAAUAAAUUUAAGUAUAAUUUUGACUAUAAUUUACUCACGUUUAAGAUCCUAAAAUUUUAAACUAAAUUGUUAUAAGUUGUUAUCGCGGGUUGGUUUCUGGGUCCUCACACCAGGACUACUAAAGUUUAUUUGCUAUUCUAACUCUCUCAUUGACUUUCUGACUGAUUGACUAACUAACAGGAAAUGUCUGUUGUUUUUCAUCUCCAGUAAAAAAAAAGAAAGAGAAAAGAAGGAAUGUGCCCCUGUAAUCUUCCUUUACAACCGUUAUCAUUUAUCUAUUUAUUCUUUCCCAGGGAGAAGACAAUAUUUUACAUUAUCAUCUUUCUCCUAGUUACAUUUCACCAUUUAGUUGAUUUUGUUGUGGCACCUGCAUGUUAUAUAACUCUAUCUAAUCAUUUUCCUAAUUUAUUAUGUUAUUUUUUUUAUCAUGGAGGAGAAAGUUUUCCAGGCCAGCUGGCACAAUAAACACUUUCUGUCAUUUGUUUAGUCAUCUAAAGUGUUAUUUUGCUUGAAUUCUUUUCAUGAUUUUUUUCUUGAAGUGUAGAGUAACAUCUUACAUCAGGCCCAUAUUCCAUGUCCACACACAAUAAAUGUAUAUAUGGUUAUAUAUGAUUUUUAUAAUAUUUUGCAUGUUAAUUUAUUUCACUUAAUUUCCUCUGUUUUUGAUACCUAUAUUAUGAAAAGGAAAAAUUAC
rnacentral:lncRNA from 1 species